rnacentral:rRNA from 1 species
UACGGAGGGAGCUAGCGUUGUUCGGAAUUACUGGGCGUAAAGCGCGCGUAGGCGGCUUUGUAAGUUAGAGGUGAAAGCCCGGGGCUCAACCCCGGAACAGCCUUUAAGACUGCAUCGCUAGAAUCCGGGAGAGGUGAGUGGAAUUCCGAGUGUAGAGGUGAAAUUCGUAGAUAUUCGCAAGAACACCAGUGGCGAAGGCGGCUCACUGGCCCGAUACUGACGCUGAGGCACGAAAGCGUGGGGGAGCGAACAGG